UACGUAGGGUGCAAGCGUUGUCCGGAAUUAUUGGGCGUAAAGAGCUCGUAGGCGGUCUGUCGCGUCGGCUGUGAAAACCCGGGGCUCAACCCCGGGACUGCAGUCGAUACGGGCAGACUAGAGUGCGGUAGGGGAGACUGGAAUUCCUGGUGUAGCGGUGAAAUGCGCAGAUAUCAGGAGGAACACCGGUGGCGAAGGCGGGUCUCUGGGCCGUAACUGACGCUGAGGAGCGAAAGCGUGGGGAGCGAACAGG
rnacentral:rRNA from 1 species